rnacentral:rRNA from 1 species
UUUUCUAGCACUGCUCAUCCACAAAUAGAUGGACAAACAAAAAUGGUGAACAAGUUUUUGGGUAAUCUGAUCCGUUGCAUUUGUGGAGAAAGAAAGGGGCAAUGCGAUUUGGCUUUAUCUUUUGCAGAGUUCUCCUACAAUAACUCCAAGCAUAGAUCCACAGGAAGGAGCCCUUUUUCCAUUGUCUACACUAAAGUUCCAACACAUGUGGUGGACUUGGUGAAGCUACCAUCAAGGGGAAACUCAAAAUCAGCAUUGUCCUUUGUUGAUAAUUACACCGAGUUAUUUGAAGAGAUUCGCAGCGCUUUGGAAGCACAAAAUCAAAAAUAUAAACAACUUGCUGAUUGCAAAAGGAGGCCAAAAUCAUUCCAAGUCGGUGAUAAGGUGAUGGUCUACCUCCGAAAAGAGAGGCUGCCUUUAGGUGUUAAAGGGAAACUUAGGCAGCGAAGA